CCCGCGGCUGCCACAUGUCGGGCCGCCCGCGGGGCGGGGGGCGCCAGGAAUAGCCGCACGUGCGCCCCGGCACACGCCCGCCGCGCCCCGGGGCGGAGGAGGGCUCCCACCGGCCCCCCGCCUCUUAGCCUGUCCCUCCGCCGAGCAGGUCGGCUCCGCUUCAGCCGCAGCCCGCCCGGCACGGCACAGGCGGGUCACUCCAGCGCCUCAUCAGACACCGACUGCGCCCCAAAGCUUGCUACCAACUUUUUGUCCAGCUACUCAGUGGGUUUAAUAAAAGAGAGCACCUCUACUCGAAGUACCUGGCCUGCCCGCGUCCUUAGACCGACAUGGGGACAGCCAAAACCCCGUAAUAAUAUCACUCCCUCCCCUCCCUGUGGGAAGGUUGAGGUUUGUGCCCCUCCAGAAGCAGCCAGAGGGUUUUCUUCCCCUUGCCCCCCCUUCUGCUGCGGCUGCGGGCUGGCCCCUGCUCCCCGCCGCUCGGGACAGCUGCUCUGAAACCUCUCCUCAGCUUGGCUCUUGGUUCAUAACUGCUAAGGGAUUUUGCUGCCUAGGGAGGACCUGGAUGGAGCGUGUGAGGCUGUUAAAGAGGUCGCACGGCAACUGGACCUCUGUCACGGACAAAGUAAAGCUUUUUAAUGUUGGGGCGCUCCUUCCCGAGCUGCAGGAAUAGGUUACGCCACAGCCAGGUCAGUGCUAAUAGGAUUUCCUGCACAGCUGCACAUGGAGGAAGAUGUUUUUAGGCAGGGUAGCGGCAGCAGGACAGGAUCCAGACACACCAUGAGACUGCAAACGGAUUUGGCAAGCUGAAAGGAGACUUCUCCAGCGUCCGUAGAGGAAGUCACAUCUUCCAAAUAUUUUCCUCUUCGGGCACCUUUGUCCUGAUCCCGGUUUGAUUCAGGUGCAGAUCCCAACCAGGCACUACACUGCUGACAGGGCCUCAGAUGUAUUAAACGGGAGAAGAAAAAGAAGAGCAUAGCAUUGAACUCUGCAAGCAAGCGCCAGGUUACCCUUGGUCUGAGAACUGAAAAAAGGAAGAUCUGGCACCAGAGAACAGCCUGUAUCACCCCUUGGGAUGCAACAAGACCUACACCUAGACUGUUGGGGUGUGACUUCAGCAGCACGCCUGUUUUGUGCCACCCUACCUGUUUGUAUUCAUAAGGCUACCAUGCUGUACCGAUGGGGCAAUGUCCCAGAACUUCUCCAGACUUAAUCAAAAGAUGAUCAGUCACUAAAUCAGAUGUCAAGACUCCUUCUCACCAGAUAGCGACUCUUCUGCAUACAGUGACUCUUCUUUGGCAAACAUAUCGAUCAACCAUGGAGAUGGCAAGACUCUGAAUGCUUUCCUGGAUCAGAGGGUGUAUCAAAAAUGGCUUAAUACAUUUCAAAGAGAAAUGUCUCCAUUAGCCUAGACGAUGACUAAGAACAUUUCAGAAAUAAAUCUUAUGUAGAGAAUGAUAUCUCUCUCACUCUUGAAUAAGAUAAAUAGUAGCUGAGGGAAAUCUGAUAGGAGUUUACAGUAAUUGUGUUGUCAUUCUUGACUAUAAAAAUGAAUAGGAAGAGCACCUAGCCUAGAUGCUGGUCAGGGGGAAGGAAAUCAUCUGCCUAAUAUGCAUGCUCCCCAAGAAUUGAAUUGAGAAAUAAUGGGGAGAUAAGCUUCCCUUUAAUACCUUUUUUGGGAGAGAAUGGUUGUCUAUGAACCCCUAGACCCCAGUAGAGGAGCCUUCAGGGAAACAAAAUCUAGUCUGUACCUGAGGCCAUGCAGCAGAAGUGUUGGGAAAAGUGCCUGGAGCCUCUGGGAUCACCCCUGCAGGACUGACCGUGAUGCUUGGCACAGGCCUUAAGAAAAACUGCUGGGCUUCAAGUUUCUCUCUGUUGUGCAGGUGUAUUCCAAGUCAGAAAGACCUGGACAGGCUGAUGUAACAUGGGGGUAGUAGUGGCUGUGAGUUUAUUUCCCUGGGCUCUGCACAGCAUCCUGCAACAGGGAAGGCCAUUUUAGUGUCUCAGGUUUUAUUCAGAAAACUAUCAUAUCAAACAAUUGUAGCCAUAAUGACCUCCCCUGGCUGCCAGCACCACUAGUUAAAUCCCCUGUUGCAGGGAAUAGCAGGGAGACUAGAAAGCUAACUUUGUUGCUGCUCAUUUCUUUCCAUCAUUAAAAGACUUUGGGAUGAUGCAGGGUAUUCAUGCACCUAAUUUCAAGCAUUUCUAUUUCUGGCAAGGGGAACGUAGUAUGCCUGAACAACAUGAAAGUUCAUGCUGGAUUCACUAGACACCUGUGAUGAAUAGAGAAGGGUUCCUCAGGGAUCACCAGGCACCUUACCCUAUUUUAGAAGGAAAGGGGAGAUCUUCAUCCAGAUUAGAUGGGAAUGCCCAAGAAUGAGGUGAUUUGGGGAAUCUUACUGGACAGCACAUCCUGGUUUGUUGUUAAUGUACAUAUUCCCUUUGCACCAUACUCUGUUUUGGAAAUCUACCUACAAGUAUUUUCUUUAAAGACAGUUAAUAGGAUUUUUUGUGUGCAUUAGUCUCUCCCUAAGAGCAAAGAAUUUGUUGGAAGGGGUCAAAUCAGAUAUCUCUGAAGUCCAACUUCAUCUCCAAUAGCAGCCACCACUUUCUGCUUCAGAGGAAAGUAUAUGAAACAGUAUAAUGCACAAUUAUGAACUGAACUACACACAAGGGAAGCUCUUUCCUGUCCCUGUUGCUUACACAGACUCAUGUUAUUGAAGGAAUCCACAUGCUACAGGGCCAGUUUUAAUCACAGAGAAAUGCAGAUUUGGGGGUUUUAAAUUAGAGAAGUUGGGAUUUUUAAACAGAGAAAACCAGGAUCCCUGAUCAUAAGUAUGCCAUCUAUCUCUUUCUCAUCUGACCUAGGUUCUUUUAUCUUGGACCUUUUCCAGUACCUAGUUAAGCUGGGGACUGAACCAACUAAAGCUGAAUCCAGACAAGAUAGAUGUGAUGGUGGUGAGAAGACUGCUUGGGGAAUUAGGACACCAAUAAUUGAUGGGGUUCAGCCUCCCCUUGUCACUCAGGUUUGCAGCAUAGGGGUACUCCCAGAUCCUCUGCUGCAUGUGGACCUUCAGUUGGUGGCAGGGGCAAGGAGUGCCUUUCACCAUGGUGAGAAGGCUACAACUCUUUCUCUCAGACUUGGAUUUGGCCACCAAAAUCAUGCUUUUGUAACCUCAAAGCUAAAUUACCACACUGUUUUAUGUGGGGCUGCCAUCCAUGACUGCCCAGAAGCUUGGUAAAGAACACUUCUGCUGGCAUUUGGCCAUCAGGAGCACAGCUUCAGUGCCCCAGUUCUGCACUGGCUCUCAA